GACGAACGCUGGCGGCGUGCUUAACACAUGCAAGUCGAACGGAAAGGCCCUGCUUUUGUGGGGUGCUCGAGUGGCGAACGGGUGAGUAACAAGUGAGUAACCUGCCCUUGACUUUGGGAUAACUUCAGGAAACUGGGGCUAAUACCGGAUAGGAGCUCCUGCUGCAUGGUGGGGGUUGGAUAGUUUCGGCGGUUGGGGAUGGACUCGCGGCUUAUCAGCUUGUUGGUGGGGUAGUGGCUUACCCAGGCUUUGACGGGUAGCCGGCCUGAGAGGGUGACCGGCCACAUUGGGACUGAGAUACGGCCCAGACUCCUACGGGAGGCAGCAGUGGGGAAUAUUGCACAAUGGGCGGAAGCCUGAUGCAGCAACGCCGCGUGCGGGAUGACGGCCUUCGGGUUGUAAACCGCUUUCGCCUGUGACGAAGCGUGAGUGACGGUAAUGGGUAAAGAAGCACCGGCUAACUACGUG
rnacentral:rRNA from 1 species